GCUGGACAUGGUAGCCUGUGCCUGUAAUCCCAGCAACUAGGGAGGCUGAGUCAGGAGAAUAGCAAGUUCAAGAUCAACUUCAGCAACUCGACAAGACCCUGACUCAA
rnacentral:sRNA from 1 species